UACCUGGUUGAUCCUGCCAGUACUAUAUGCUUGUCUCAAAGCCUAAGCCAUGCAAAUGUAAGAUCAAUCAUAUGCGGUUUCGGCCGUGUAUAAUGAUAGUCUGUGGAAGGCUCAUUAUAACAGUUAUACUCCUAGCCACUGGAAAGUUUACAAGGAUACCACCG
rnacentral:ncRNA from 1 species